UAUGCAAUAAGAUGGGAAAAGGUUGAAUAUUUCUAUGUUACUACUUCAUGUUAUAGAAAGAUUUAGAAAAAUGUAUACUGAAUAAUUAGUUGCUUUGCUUUUCCUUUCAGGAAGACUCAGUUUGGUUUGGUUAACAGAAGUAGGGAGUGGUCUCAGCUGUCGAUUAUAGUAAAAAUUCAGGUUUGGAACUUUUGGUUGCUGAGAUUAUAUGCUUGGCAGUUGGUCAACUUGUGUAUGAACUUUAAGUCAGCUUGGUGUCAGGCUUUCCAAGCAUGGAAGGUCUUAGUUGCAACACGUGGGAUCUUCCUUGCGGCAUGUGGGACCUUUCAUUGCAGUGCAUGGGCUCCAGAGCACGUGGGCUUAGUUGCCCCACGGCAUGUGGGAAUCUUAGCUCCCUGACCUGCGUCCCGUGCAUUGGAAGGCAGAUUCUUUACCACUGGACCACCAGGGAAGUCCCUCUUUUUUCUUAGUGUGAA